AAUGACCCGCGAACAUGUUAUU
rnacentral:rRNA from 1 species